rnacentral:rRNA from 1 species
UGGGGGAUAUUGCACAAUGGGCGAAAGCCUGAUGCAGCGACGCCGCGUGGGGGAUGAAGGCCUUCGGGUUGUAAACUUCUUUUGCUCUGAACAAGGCAUGCCUUUGGGGUGUGUUGAGUGUAGGGGUUGAUUAGCGCCGGCUAACUACGUGCCAGCAGCCGCGGUAAUACGUAGGGCGCGAGCGUUGUCCGGAAUUAUUGGGCGUAAAGGGCUUGUAGGUGGCUGGUUGCGUCUGUCGUGAAAGCUCAUGGCUUAACUGUGGGUUUGCGGUGGGUACGGGCUGGCUUGAGUGCAGUAGGGGAGGCUGGAAUUCCUGGUGUAGCGGUGGAAUGCGCAGAUAUCAGGAGGAAUACCGGUGGCGAAGGCGGGUCUCUGGGCUGUUACUGGCGCUGAGGAGCGAAAGCGUGGGGAGCGAACAGG